rnacentral:rRNA from 3 species
AGACCCGAAACCCGGUGAUCUAGCCAUGGGCAGGUUGAAGGUUGGGUAACACUAACUGGAGGACCGAACCGACUAAUGUUGAAAAAUUAGCGGAUGACCUGUGGCUGGGGGUGAAAGGCCAAUCAAACCGGGAGAUAGCUGGUUCUCCCCGAAAGCUAUUUAGGUAGCGCCUCGUGAAUUCAUCUCCGGGGGUAGAGCACUGUUUCGGCUAGGGGGCCAUCCCGGCUUACCAACCCGAUGCAAACUGCGAAUACCGGAGAAUGUUAUCACGGGAGACACACGGCGGGUGCUAACGUCCGUCGUGAAGAGGGAAACAACCCAGACCGCCAGCUAAGGUCCCAAAGUCAUGGUUAAGUGGGAAACGAUGUGGGAAGGCCCAGACAGCCAGGAUGUUGGCUUAGAAGCAGCCAUCAUUUAAAGAAAGCGUAAUAGCUCACUGGUCGAGUCGGCCUGCGCGGAAGAUGUAACGGGGCUAAACCAUGCACCGAAGCUGCGGCAGCGACGCUUAUGCGUUGUUGGGUAGGGGAGCGUUCUGUAAGCCUGUGAAGGUGGCCUGUGAGGGUUGCUGGAGGUAUCAGAAGUGCGAAUGCUGACAUAAGUAACGAUAAAGCGGGUGAAAAGCCCGCUCGCCGGAAGACCAAGGGUUCCUGUCCAACGUUAAUCGGGGCAGGGUGAGUCGACCCCUAAGGCGAGGCCGAAAGGCGUAGUCGAUGGGAAACGGGUUAAUAUUCCCGUACUUGGUGUUACUGCGAAGGGGGGACGGAGAAGGCUAUGUUGGCCGGGCGACGGUUGUCCCGGUUUAAGCGUGUAGGUGUGUGUUCCAGGUAAAUCCGGUUCACUUUAACACUGAGGCGUGAUGACGAGGCACUACGGUGCUGAAGCAACAAAUGCCCUGCUUCCAGGAAAAGCCUCUAAGCAUCAGGUAACAUCAAAUCGUACCCCAAACCGACACAGGUGGUCAGGUAGAGAAUACCAAGGCGCUUGAGAGAACUCGGGUGAAGGAACUAGGCAAAAUGGUGCCGUAACUUCGGGAGAAGGCACGCUGACACGUAGGUGAAGUGAUUUACUCAUGGAGCUGAAGUCAGUCGAAGAUACCAGCUGGCUGCAACUGUUUAUUAAAAACACAGCACUGUGCAAACACGAAAGUGGACGUAUACGGUGUGACGCCUGCCCGGUGCCGGAAGGUUAAUUGAUGGGGUCAGCGCAAGCGAAGCUCCUGAUCGAAGCCCCGGUAAACGGCGGCCGUAACUAUAACGGUCCUAAGGUAGCGAAAUUCCUUGUCGGGUAAGUUCCGACCUGCACGAAUGGCGUAAUGAUGGCCAGGCUGUCUCCACCCGAGACUCAGUGAAAUUGAACUCGCUGUGAAGAUGCAGUGUACCCGCGGCAAGACGGAAAGACCCCGUGAACCUUUACUAUAGCUUGACACUGAACAUUGAGCCUUGAUGUGUAG